ACAGGUCAGUGGUGCGGCCCAAAGUGAGCGUCUACCCAGCGACGGGAGCUGAUUUAAAGGGCCGGCGCUCCCUGCUGUGUGUAGCCAGAGACAUGGUCCCUGAGGAGGUCCGGGUGUCCUGGAGGAGGAGAGGGGGGGGCAGAGGGGGGGGGAAGGACGGGGAGCAGCUGGAGCUCAGAGGACCGACAUACGCUGCCAGCAUCCUGGUUAUUGAUCGGGGAGAAACCCUCACAGAUCAAUACAUCUGUAGAGUUGAGCAUGAAAGCGGUCUGCAGGAGGAGUUCCCAGCAGAGUCCCUCCAGGUGCUGUCCAGAGCCAGGCUGGCGUCUGUGCUCUACACAGUGAUGGUGGUGGAGAGCCAGGCCACAGCAGCAGAGCACACUCUUCACCACCAUCACUGUGUAGAGCACAGACGCCAGCCUGGCUCUGGACAGCACCUGGAGGGACUCUGGGACCCCACCAACACACAGCCCAUACUGGUUCAUACUGGUCCAUGUGCACUAUAGAGGCCUAUGUGGUUUAUACUGGUCCAUAUGCACCAUAGAGGCCUAUGUGGUUUAUACUGGUCCAUAUGCACCACAGAGGCCAAUGUGGUUUAUACUGGUCCAUUUGCACCAUAGAGGCCUAUGUGGUUUAUACUGGUCCAUAUGCACCAUAGAGGUCUACACGUGCCAUACUGGUUUAUACUGGUUUACUUUAUAUACUGGCUUGUACACUCCAUACUGUUAUAAACUGGUUGUAAUGGUUUAUAAUAGUUUGUACUGGUUUACACUCCAUGGUGUAUACAUACAUUAAUGUAUUCUUGAUGAAAUACCACACUGCUAAUCCAGAGGCCACUUGAGGUUCCUACAGCAGUUCAGAGUGAGAGCAGCUGAUCUUACGGUGUGUUUCAUCUGAAGGACCUUCUCUGGGUCUCCCUGGACGCCGGGGGUCCGUAGUAACUGACGUCGCUAAGGUAACAUCUGUCUUUCCGGGGCCUUCUGAAGUCAAGGUCAUUUCUAUCAUUCCGGGGCCUUCUGACGUCAAGGUCAUUUCUGUUGGAGGUGAAUCAGCUUUAGUGGGUUAUUGAUAGACUUCAUGUCCCAGGUGAUAGACAGUGGGGUUAGUGAUAGACAACAAGCUGAUGUGUAGGGGUUGUAGUUCUUCAUUACCUGCUGGGACCUCCACUUCCUGCAGACCGCUCUCAUGCUCAACCGUACAGUUGUAUUGAUCUGUGAGGGUUUCUCCCUGAUCAAUAACCAGGAUGCUGGCAGCGUAUGUCGGGGCUCUGAGCUCCAGCUGCUCCCCGUCCUUCCCCCCCCCUCUGCCCCCCCCUCUCCUCCUCCAGGACACCCGGACCUCCUCAGGGACCAUGUCUCUGGCCACACACAGCAGGGAGCGCCGGCCCUUUAAAUCAGCUCCCGUCGCUGGGUAGACGCUCACUUUGGGCCGCACCACUGACAGCUCCACUGACCUGUCUGAGUUUAACAGAAGAACCAAUCGAGAGACAGAAGACAAGUCACAUGGUGUCAAAACCGUGGAAAUAUUAGCAGAAUUAUUAUAUUACAUAUUACAACAUAUGUUAAGAAUUAAAUAACUCUGAAAACUAUAUGAAGGGAGGCAAUCACUUCAUAAUUUUUGUAAAAUUAUUAUAUUUUGUAAUUGUAAUAUUAUUUUAUUUUAUUUUAAGUACUAUGAUUAAUAUUACUAAGAUUUUAAACAUGAUAAUUAAAAUCAUUUUAAG
ensembl:lncRNA